UACAGAGGGUGCAAGCGUUGUUCGGAAUUAUUGGGCGUAAAGCGCGUGUAGGCGGCUUUGCAAGUCGGGUGUGAAAGCCCUCAGCUCAACUGAGGAAGUGCGCCCGAAACUGCAGAGCUUGAGUGCCGGAGAGGGUGGCGGAAUUCCCCAAGUAGAGGUGAAAUUCGUAGAUAUCUGGAGGAACACCGGUGGCGAAGGCGGCAUCCUGGACCGGCAUUGACGCUGAGGAGCGAAAGCCAGGGGAGCAAACGGG
rnacentral:rRNA from 1 species